rnacentral:lncRNA from 1 species
UCCUCCAAAUCCCACAAAAAUCCCACCAAAUUCCAGAACCAUCUCACAAAAUCUCAACAAAUUGCCACUAAAUUCAAGAAAACUCUCACAAAGUUCUUGAAAGCCCCUCAAAAUUCCAGAAAAAUGCCACAAAAUUCCCUACAUCUUCUCAAAACCCAAACAAACUCCUGCAACAUCUCACAAAAUCUCCAACAAUUUCCAAACAAUUCAAGAAAAAUCCCGCAAAAUUCUUCAAGUCUCGUACAAAUCCCAGAAAAAUCCCACAAAAUUCCAGAAACAUCCCGCAAAAUCUCCUCAAUAUCACCAAACAUUCUGGAAAAGCCCCUCAAAAUUACAGAAAAAUGCCACAAAAUUCCCUAAAUCUGCUCAAAACAUUACAAAAUUCCAUAGACAUCUCACAAAAUCUCCACCAAUUUCCAGAAAAUUCAAGAAAAAUCCCGCAAAAUUCUUCAAGUCUCCUCCAAAUCCCACAAAAUUCAAGAGAAAUCCUCAAAAUUCCACAAAAAUCCAACAAAAUUCCUUCCAUCUUCUCAGAACCCAAACAAAUUCCUGCAACAUCUCACAAAAUCUCCACCAAUUUCCAAACAAUUCAAGAAAAAUCCCGCAAAAUUCUUCAAGUCUCCUCCAAAUACCACAAACAUCCCACAAACAUCCCACAAACAUCCCACAAACAUCCCACAAACAUCCCACAAAAUUCAAGAGAAAUCCCAUAAAAUUCAAAAGAAAUCGCACAAAAUCCUGUACAAGCCCCACACAAUUCCCUAAAUCUUCUCAAAACCAAACCGCAUUCCUGCAGCAUCCCACAAAAUCUCCAAUAAUUUCCACAAAAUUCAAGAAAAAUCUCUCAAAAUUCACUGAAUUUCCUCAAUAUCCCACCAAAUUCCAGAACCAUCUCACAAAAUCUAAACAAAUUUCCACUAAAUUCAAGACAACGCUCACAAAGUUCUUGAAACCCCCUCAAAAUUGCAGAAAAAUGCCACAAAAUUCCCUACAUCUUCUCAAAACAUUACAAAAUUCUACAGACAUCUCACAAAAUCUCCACCAAUUUCCAGAAAAU